GACGAACGCUGGCGGCGUGCUUAACACAUGCAAGUCGAACGGAAAGGCCCUGCUUUUGUGGGGUGCUCGAGUGGCGAACGGGUGAGUAACACGUGAGUAACCUGCCCUUGACUUUGGGAUAACUUCAGGAAACUGGGGCUAAUACCGGCUAGGAGCUCCUGCUGCAUGGUGGGGGUUGGAAAGUUUCGGCGGUUGGGGAUGGACUCGCGGCUUAUCAGCUUGUUGGUGGGGUAGUGGCUUACCAAGGCUUUGACGGGUAGCCGGCCUGAGAGGGUGACCGGCCACAUUGGGACGGAGAUACGGCCCAGACUCCUACGGGAGGCAACAGAGGGGAAUAUUGCAAAAUGGGCGGAAGCCAGAUGCAGCAACGCCGCGUGCGGGAUGACGGCCUUCGGGUUGUAAACCGCAUUCGCCUGUGACGAAGCGUGAGUGACGGUAAUGGGUAAAGAAGCACCGGCUAACUACGUG
rnacentral:rRNA from 1 species